UCUAACGGAACGCUAUUGGAUC
rnacentral:miRNA from 1 species